rnacentral:RNase_P_RNA from 1 species
CGAGCCGGGCGGACGGCCGCGUGGAGUCCCCCUAGGGGGCUUCCCGAGGAACGUCCGGGCUCCACAGGGCAGGGUGAUGGCUAACGGCCACCCGGGGUGACCCGCGGGACAGUGCCACAGAAAACAGACCGCCGGGGACCUCGGUCCCCGGUAAGGGUGAAACGGUGGUGUAAGAGACCACCAGUGCCCAGGGCGACCUGGGCAGCUAGGUAAACCCCACCCGGAGCAAGGUCAAAAGGAAGCACCCCGGUGCUUCUGCGCGGACGUUCGAGGGCUGCCCGCCCGAGUCCGCGGGUAGACCGCACGAGGCCGGCGGCAACGUCGGCCCUAGAUGGAUGGCCGUCUCCCCGGCCGCCGCGAGGCGACCGGGUGACAGAACCCGGCGUACAGCCCGACUCGUCUG